rnacentral:rRNA from 1 species
CCUACGGGGGGCUGCAGUGGGGAAUAUUGGGCAAUGGGCGCAAGCCUGACCCAGCAACGCCGCGUGAAGGAAGAAGGCUUUCGGGUUGUAAACUUCUUUUCUCAGGGACGAAGCAAGUGACGGUACCUGAGGAAUAAGCCACGGCUAACUACGUGCCUGCAGCCGCGGUAAGACGUAGGUGGCAAGCGUUAUCCGGAUUUACUGGGUGUAAAGGGCGUGUAGGCGGGACUGCAAAUCAGGCGGGAAAACCAUGGGCUCAACCUAUGGCCUGCAUUUGAAACUGUAGUUCUUGAGUACUGGAGAAGCAGACGGAAUUCGUAGUGGAGCGGUGAAAUGCGUAGAUAUUAGGCGGAACACCGGUGGCGAAGGCGGUGUGCUGGACAGCAACUGACGCUGAGGCGCGAAAGCGUGGGGAGCAAACAGGAUUAGAUACCCUAGUAGUC